CCUACGGGAGGCAGCAGUGGGGAAUCUUGCGCAAUGGGCGAAAGCCUGACGCAGCCAUGCCGCGUGAAUGAUGAAGGUCUUAGGAUUGUAAAAUUCUUUCAGUAGGGACGAUAAUGACGGUACCUACAGAAGAAGCCCCGGCUAACUUCGUGCCAGCAGCCGCGGUAAUACGAAGGGGGCUAGCGUUGCUCGGAAUUACUGGGCGUAAAGGGAGCGUAGGCGGACAUUUAAGUCAGGGGUGAAAUCCCAGAGCUCAACUCUGGAACUGCCUUUGAUACUGGGUGUCUUGAGUGUGAGAGAGGUAUGUGGAACUCCGAGUGUAGAGGUGAAAUUCGUAGAUAUUCGGAAGAACACCAGUGGCGAAGGCGACAUACUGGCUCAUUACUGACGCUGAGGCUCGAAAGCGUGGGGAGCAAACAGGAUUAGAUACCCUGGUAGUCCACGCCGUAAACGAUGAUUGCUAGUUGUCGGGAUGUUUACAUCUCGGUGACGCAGCUAACGCAUUAAGCAAUCCGCCUGGGGAGUACGGUCGCAAGAUUAAAACUCAAAGGAAUUGACGGCUGAGACGUGCGAGGACGACGACGAGGGAGGAGG
rnacentral:rRNA from 1 species